GAUGAACGCUGGCGGCGUGCCUAAUACAUGCAAGUCGAGCGAACGGACGAGAAGCUUGCUUCUCUGAUGUUAGCGGCGGACGGGUGAGUAACACGUGGAUAACCUACCUAUAAGACUGGGAUAACUUCGGGAAACCGGAGCUAAUACCGGAUAAUAUUUUGAACCGCAUGGUUCAAGAGUGAAAGACGGUCUUGCUGUCACUUAUAGAUGGAUCCGCGCUGCAUUAGCUAGUUGGUAAAGUAACGGCUUACCAAGGCAACGAUGCAUAGCCGACCUGAGAGGGUGAUCGGCCACACUGGAACUGAGACACGGUCCAGACUCCUACGGGAGGCAGCAGUAGGGAAUCUUCCGCAAUGGGCGAAAGCCUGACGGAGCAACGCCGCGUGAGUGAUGAAGGUCUUCGGAUCGUAAAACUCUGUUAUUAGGGAAGAACAUAUGUGUAAGUAACUGUGCACAUCUUGACGGUACCUAAUCAGAAAGCCACGGCUAACUACGUG
rnacentral:rRNA from 1 species